rnacentral:rRNA from 1 species
AUKAAGCCAUGCAUGUCUAAGCACAUGCCUUAAAACGGUGAAGCCGCGAAUGGCUCGGUAUAACAGCUACGGUUUAUUAGAUUUUCCUUUUCUACUUGGAUAACUGUGGUAAUUCUAGAGCUAAUACAUGCCUCGAAGCUCGGACCUCACGGAAAGAGCGCAUUUAUUAGAUCAAAACCAGUCGGGCUUCGGUCCGUGGUGAUGGUGACUCUGAAUAACUCAGUUGAUCGCACAGUCUCGUACUGGCGACGUAUCUUUCAAAUGUCUGCCUUAUCAACUUUCGAUGGUACGGUAUAUGCCUACCAUGGUGAUAACGGGUAACGGAGAAUUAGGGUUCGACUCCGGAGAGGGAGCCUGAGAAAUGGCUACCACAUCCAAGGAAGGCAGCAGGCGCGCAAAUUACCCAAUCUCGGUACGAGGAGGUAGUGACGAAAAAUAACGAGACAGUCCAUUCUGUGGACUGUCAUCGGAAUGGGUACGAUUUAAAUCCUCUAACGAGGAUCCAUUAGAGGGCAAGUCUGGUGCCAGCAGCCGCGGUAAUUCCAGCUCUAAUAGCGUAUAUUAAAGUUGUUGUGGUUAAAACGCCCGUAGUUGAUUUUUCGACUUUGGAGGUCGGUGGCUCGAAAGGGCACUACUGAUUCUCCGGGUCUCUUUUUGAGUUUUCUGUCGGUGCUCUUCACUGAGUGUCGGCAGUGACUCGAACGUUUACUUUGAAAAAAUUAGAGUGCUUAAAGCAAGCUUUACGCUUGGAUAAAGUGCAUGGGAUAAUGGAAGAGGACUUUGGUCUUAUUUUGUUGGUUUUCUAGACUGAAGUAAUGAUUAAGAGGAACAGACGGGGGCAUUCGUAUUGUUGCGUUAGAGGUGAAAU